rnacentral:rRNA from 1 species
GAUGAACGCUAGCGGCAGGCUUAAUACAUGCAAGUCGUGGGGCAGCAUGAGUGUAGCAAUACAUUUGAUGGCGACCGGCAAACGGGUGCGGAACACGUACACAACCUUCCUAUAAGUGGGGAAUAGCCCAGAGAAAUUUGGAUUAAUACCCCGUAACAUAACGAUGUGGCAUCACAUUGUUAUUAUAGCUUCGGCGCUUAUUGAUGGGUGUGCGGCUGAUUAGAUAGUUGGCGGGGUAACGGCCCACCAAGUCUACGAUCAGUAGCUGAUGUGAGAGCAUGAUCAGCCACACGGGCACUGAGACACGGGCCCGACUCCUACGGGAGGCAGCAGUAAGGAAUAUUGGUCAAUGGACGCAAGUCUGAACCAGCCAUGCCGCGUGAAGGAUUAAGGUCCUCUGGAUUGUAAACUCCUUUUAUCUGGGACGAAAAAAGGCUUUUCUAAGUCACUUGACGGUACCAGAUGAAUAAGCACCGGCUAACUCCGUGCCAGCCGCCGCCGUAAGAC